UGUGUAACAGCCGCGUACCAGACGUGUGCAUCGAACAGCUUCUCCCAGUUCGGUUUUAUAAAGAAAAUGAUCCCGUUCACAGCACCGUCUAAGGUAACCGCUCUAACCAGCAAGCUUAUCAUGAUGAUGUAAGGAAAGAUCGCGAGGAAAUAGGCCGCUUUCCCUGAGCUCUUCACACCACGUGCCAAGACAGCAAAUAUGCAGCCCCACGCAAUAAACAAGCAAAUUGUCAGACUCCAAUCUGGCAAUCCGACGCCAUCCUGAAUAGUAUGUUUUUCUUUCAGCACAGUUUUUCUGAUGUUGUUAAGAUUAAAAAGAUUUCACCUGAAGAAAAAUUCAGCAGAACUGGUCAUAUUUGUACUAUUUCGUUUGCUGAUGUUAUAAGAGCUUCCCGAAUCGGAGCAAGAAUUUCCCCAUUCUUCCAAACACGU
rnacentral:misc_RNA from 1 species